rnacentral:rRNA from 1 species
AUUGAACGCUGGCGGCAUGCCUUACACAUGCAAGUCGAACGGCAGCGGACCGUUCGGGUGCCGGCGAGUGGCGAACGGGUGAGUAAUAUAUCGGAACGUACCUUUCAGUGGGGGAUAACGUAGCGAAAGUUACGCUAAUACCGCAUAUUCUGUGAGCAGGAAAGCAGGGGAUCGCAAGACCUUGCGCUGAUUGAGCGGCCGAUAUCAGAUUAGCUAGUUGGUGAGGUAAAGGCUCACCAAGGCGACGAUCUGUAGCGGGUCUGAGAGGAUGAUCCGCCACACUGGAACUGAGACACGGUCCAGACUCCUACGGGAGGCAGCAGUGGGGAAUUUUGGACAAUGGGCGCAAGCCUGAUCCAGCCAUGCCGCGUGAGUGAAGAAGGCCUUCGGGUUGUAAAGCUCUUUCGGCCGGGAAGAAAUCGCACAGGUUAAUACCCUGUGUGGAUGACGGUACCGGAAUAAGAAGCACCGGCUAACUACGUG